rnacentral:sRNA from 1 species
AUUCAUCUUCCUUGUCA